UUACCCUUAUUGUAAAACACUUUUUGUUUAUAUCUGAUCUAAAUCUCCCCUUUUUUGGUUUGAAAUAAUUUUUCCUAGUCCUAUCAUAACAGACCCUGUCAAAUAAUGUUUCCUUCUUUCUUACAGUCCCUUAAUAUACUGAAAGGCCAUUACCUGGAAAUGCUGUUUUGUGGGAAAUUCUUUUAUUGGAAAAUUUUUGAAAGGCAAAGGAAGACUGAAAAGAAACAACAGUAGCUGUUUCAGUGGAAUUAAACUAAUAGCCCAAAACACAUCAUAAACUUCCUACCAGGAACAAUGGAAGAGUGAGAUGACUCUGGCCCUCAUUCUGCUUUAGAGCUCAGGGAUUGCUGAUGUACUGGGAAGAGUUUCUCUAAAGUUCUGCAAGAGCAAGGAAAAACAAGCAUGAAUGUGAUAACAGGACAGAGAUGAACCAAGCCUGUUGCUGGCUUCUAACACAUCUGUUUCCAUAUAUAAAUAAGGCCAUUUCCUUGUAACUUGAGUGUUCAGGAAAUUUGGUUUUAAAAGUAGGAAACUGACACUCUCCUUCAUUCGGAACACUGGUCUGUGGUCAGACACCUUGUCAACAAUGAUAGUUCUUCAGUGUUCAAGAUGUCUGUAACAUUCUGAAAGCUUUAUCUUCUAAGGAAUAUGAUCAAAAGUCCAUAAAAUCCAAACACAAGAUUCACUGGACAAGAUUCUAAGAGCACGAAACUGGAAAAAUGAAAGCACGUUUAAAAAGGAAACCUACUGUAAAAGUUGCUGAGGCAACAGCAAAAUGUUAUGUGUUGAUUCUGACAUUAAUUACUUAGGGAAGGCUGGAAAACCUUCACAGUGCCUUUCCUGAUUUGACUCACAUGCCUUUCCAUAUUUGGCUCAGCCAUUAGAGAAGAUUGAACAUCCCUGAGAUUGUCUGUGUUUUCCUGGUGCUGAAGUGGCCAAAUUUUGGAAAUGUACAAAAUCAGCCUCAAUAUGCAAUGUCUAAGAGAGAGAGGAUCUUUUAGAGCUUCUGAACUGCUUUAUAACCUGUAGCUUUUCACUGUAUAAAAAUUGCACACUGAAAGUUCAAAGAAAACUGCACAUUUAGUCCCUGCCUCGCAGUGCAGUUCCUGAUGGCAUGCCAAAUACUGUGGCUUCCCUGCGAACCAUGGAGCUUACAGAGGGCAUUUCCCCAACUCCAUUUGAGCUGCAAAAUGCUUUGUACAACUUAGAAAAAAAUACAACAGCACUUGUACGAACACAUAAAUAAAUAGAAUUUGCAUACCA